rnacentral:misc_RNA from 1 species
GAUGAAGAACGCAGCGAAAUGCGAUAAGUAAUGUGAAUUGCAGAAUUCAGUGAAUCAUCGAAUCUUUGAACGCACAUUGCGCCCUCUGGUAUUCCGGGGGGCAUGCCUGUUCGAGCGUCAUUAUAACCGCUCAAGCUCUCGCUUGGUAUUGGGGCUCGCGGUUCCGCGGCCCCUAAAAUCAGUGGCGGUGCCUGUCGGCUCUACGCGUAGUAAUACUCCUCGCGAUUGAGUCCGGUAGGUCUACUUGCCAGCAACCCCCAAUUUUUACAGGUUGACCUCGGAUCAGGUAGGGAUACCCGCUGAACUUAAGCAUAUCAAUAAGCGGAGGA